GAAAAAUUAAAGAAAAGAAAAAUAGGAAGAAUAUAUUUUGGUCUUGUUUCUUUUAAAAUUGGGUCAAUUCUUAAAAUAAUCCAAAUUAAUUUUAAACCCCAGCCCAAUUCCCUUUCUUACCCGCCUAGGCCCAACUUUUCCCUCACCCAUUAAAAAUCUAUUUUCCCUUAACCUAGAGAACUUAGACCUAGAUAACAUCAGAAGAUCAGACCCUGCUCAAAAAACAGAAAAAUGGCACUCUCUCUCCAUCCUCAUGAAGAACCGAAUAGACCUCUCUUUUGGAGGGAUUUCUUCUUCUUCUUCACUCCUUGACUCAUGCCUACACACACACUCCUCCUUGCACACUCAUUCCCAGAUAAUUCAAAAAAUCUGAAAUUUAACAAUGUACAAAACUAGCUGGAAACCAAAAACGCCGAAGAUCAAAAAAUAAAAAAACAGAUCUGAGAUGAAGAAAAGUUAUAAAAACAGAUAUAAUUGGGAUUUAAAAGGGAUUUCAACGGCGUUUCUAUUGGUGUUGAUUGUUUCCUACUUUCUGGUUCUAGGAGAUCAAUUUGGCCUCAAAUCUCUGCUGCUUACUGUUGUUGAUCAUUCUGUAGUGCACACUGAGCUUCACUCUUCUAUUUCAGCCUUUAUUUGGGCUAAUUUCGAACUGUAUUACUGUUGUUGAGGUAUGGAUUUCAGUUUAAAAUGAUGUAACUAUUUUUGAAUGUUAUAGAGUUAUAGAAUUUGUAUCAAUGUGCUCUUUCCAGUAUUUUUUCGAAUGAUCUUACUCGUUAAUUGUUAGUUGCGAUUUGGUGUUAAAAUGUUUGCUUUAGUUAGUACCUAGAGCAACAUCGAUCUAGUAGCCUGUGUGAAUGGUCUGUGACUUGAAUCACUGUUAGCAUUAAUUGAUAACUUUCAUGUGCUUAACAUAAGUUAAUUUCUGCGUGAAUGAUAUGUGCCUUAUUUGCAUUUGUGAAGAUUGGCAGUAAAUUUUCAGUUAUUGAAGUGUAAAUGAAAGUUAAAUUAUUUGAGACAUAAGUGUUAAGGACAAAAUAAAAAGAAUUGGGCUCUAAAAUGUUUACUGCUUUGUUUUGUUAGUUAGGAAUAGGCCACAAGUAGCGCUAAAUGAAAGAAUGUAAUUUUGUUUCGUUAAUUUCAUCUACGUGCUUUAAUAAUAACAUAAAUGUGCUUUCCUUGCUUUUAAGUCCUUUCUCCAUUUGUAAUACUGGCAUUAAUUAGAACAAUCUCAAAAAUGAAAUAUUAGUAAUUAAUUAAGUUGUUAAUAGAUUUAAGGUUGAAUAACUUGUUAAUCCAAAUAUUUAAAAUUAUAUGUCUUCUCCACAAACAAUUCAAUAUUCAUAACUCUUGACAUUACAAUAAUCCCAAAGUUUAGGAAAAAUGAUUCAUCGCUAGCAUGUGUUUAGUCGCGAUAAAAUAAUAAAUCAUCGUGAUUAUGGGUACGAUUCUCGUAGCAUAGUCAUGAUACAUAAUUUCAAAUUCAGGUGCACACUUGUGUAACUUAACCCUAACUUCAAAGUAAUUAUAAAAUAAAUAUGUUGUAAAUUGUGGGUGCAUUUGACGCGACGAUUUGCGAUGUGUGUAAAACGACAAGUGUACGACAAUCGUGACUUGUUCCAGAAAUAACUCCAUUAAUAAAUUAAAAGUGGUUAAAAGAUAAAGAUGCACAAUAGGUUUAAAACAUGUAGUAAAUCAGAUAUUUAGGCCAAUAUUAAUAGUUAAGCGACUGUACUCGAACAACGGAACCCGGAAAUGCCUAACACCUUCUCACGGGUUAACAGAAUUCCUUACUUAGAAUUUCUAGUUUCGCAGACUUUUAAAUAGAGGCAAAAUUUUUCUCGAUUUGGGAUUUAAAAUAAAUCGGUGACUUGGGACACCAUAAUAAAUAUCUCAAGUGGUGACUCUGAAUUAAAUAAAAUAAUCUCAUAUCGAAUAAUGUCACUUUAAUUGGAAAAACUCCAUUAUAUUCCCCCUCGGGUGUAAAAAGGAGGUGUGACAACUGGAGUUUGCAGCAUCUGUUCAAGCAGAAGGAACUUAACUUGCAUCAGCGGAGGUGGUUGGAGUUGCUUAAGGAUUAUGAUAUUACCAUUUUGUACCAUCCCGGCAAGGCCAAUAUGGUGGCCAAUGCCUUGAGUCGCCGGGUGGAGAGUUUGGGGAGCUUAGCAUAUUUACCAGUAGCAGAGAGGCCAUUGACAUCGGAUGUUCAGGCCUUGGCCUACCAGUUUGUUAGAUUGGAUAUUUCUGAGCUGGGUCGAGUUUUGGCUUGUGUGGUCUCCCAGUCUUCUCUUUAUGAUCGUAUCAGGGAGCGUCAGUAUGAUGACUCCUACUUGCUUGUCCUUAAGGAAACUAUUAGAGAUGCUAAGGAGGUCACUAUUGGAUAUAAUGGUGUAUUGAGGAUAUAGGGCCGGCUAUGUGCGCCCAAUAUAGAUGGCUUGCGUGAGUUGAUUCUCCAGGAGGCACACAGUUCGUGGUACUCCAUUCAUCCAGGUGCCGCGAAGAUGUAUCAGGACUUGAGGCAGCAUUAUUGGUGGAGGAGAAUGAAUAAAGACAUAGGGGAAUAUGUAGCUUGGUGUCUAAAUUGCCAGCAGGUGAAGUAUGAGCAUCAACGGCCUGGUGGAUUGCUUCAAAAGUUAGAGAUUUCGGAGUGGAAAUAGGAGCGGAUCACUAUAAAUUUUGUUGUUAGGCUUCCACAGACUCAAAAUAAGAUUGAUGCAGUUUGGGUGAUUGUGGGCUGACCAAGUCAGCUCAUUUCAUUCAUGUGAUGACUACUUAUUCUUCCGANNNNNNNNNNNNNNNNNNNNNNNNNNNNNNNNNNNNNNNNNNNNNNNNNNNNNNNNNNNNNNNNGCAGCUGGCUCGAGUUUAUAUCCAGGAGAUUAUCAAACUUCAUGGCAUGCCGGUGUCUAUCAUAUCUAAUCGGGAUAUGCAGUUCACAUCACAGUUCUGGAGGGUCGUACAGCAUGAGUUGGGUACUCGGGUAGAGUUGAGUAUAGCAUUUCACCCUCAGAUAGACGGACAGUCCGAGCGCACUAUUCAGAUACUUGAGGAUAUGCUCCGUGCGUGUAUGAUGGAGUUUAGAGGUUCUUGGGAUAAGUUCUUGCCACUUGCAGAGUUUGCCUACAACAACAUUUAUUAGUCGUGCAUCCAGAUGGCACUGUAUGAGGAUCUGUAUGGUAAGCGGUGUCGGUCUCUAGUGGGUUGUUUCGAGCCGGGCGAGACUAGGUUAUUGGGUACAUACUUGGUUCAGGAUGCCUUAGAGAAAGUUAAGGUGAUUCAGGAUCGACUUCCAUAACCCAGUCUAGACAGAAGAGUUAUGCGGAUUGGAAGAUUUGCGAUGUUGCAUUCAUGGUUGGAGAGCGGGUCUUGCUCCGGGUGUCACCCAUGAAGGGUGUUAUGAGGUUCGAAAAGAAAGGAAAGUUGAUCCCAAGGUUUAUUGGUCCCUUUGAGGUGUUGCAGUGAGUUGGGAGGUUGCUUAUGAGCUUGCCCUACCUCCUAGUCUAGCAGAAGUUCAUCCGGUAUUUCAUAUUUCUAUACUCCGGAAGUAUCACAACGAUCUGUCUCUUGUGUUGGAUUUUAGCUCAGUCCAGUUGGACAAGGAUUUAUCUUAUGUUGAGGAGCCAAUGGCUAUAUUGGACAGGUAGGUUCGAAAGCUGAGGUCAAAGAAUAUUACAUCAGUUAAGGUUCAGUGGAGGGGUCUGCCGGUCUAGGAGGCGACUUGGGAGACCGAUCAGGAUAUGCGUAGCUGUUAUCCUCAUCUUUUCAUCACUUCAGGUAUGUCCCUACACUUGUUCGAGGAUGAACGAUUGUUUUAAGAGGGGGAGGAUGUAACAACUCGGUCGGUCGUUUUGAGAAUUAUAGCCCCGAUUACCUAUUUACUGCUUUCCCUGUACUUAUUUCUGCUUAUGUGACUUGCCGGGAAGUUUUGUUUUUGGUUUCGGAGUAUUUUGGGACACUUAGUCCCUAAACGGAAGCUUAAGUCUUAGGAUUUUGAUCAUAGUUGGAACUAUGUGAAGACGACUCUGAAAUGGGGUUUCAUCGGUUCUGUUAGCUCCGUUGGGUGAUUUUGGACUUAGGGCGUGUCCAAAUUGUAUUUUGGAGGUCUGUAGUUGAUUUAGGCUUGAAAUGGCAAAUGUUGAAUUUUUGGAGAUUUUGACUGGAAGCGGACCUUUUGAUAUCGGGGUCAGAUUUUGAUUCCGAAAGUUAGAGAAGAUCCGUAAUGUUGAAUAUGACUUGUGUGCAAAAUUUAGGGUCAAUCGGACGUGAUUUGAUAGGUUUCGGCAUCGGUUGUGGAAGUUGGAAGUUUCAAUGUUCUUUAAGUUUGAAUUGGUCUAUGUUGUGUUCACACUAUUUUGUUGUUUUGCAUAUGAUUGUAUUAUUGCACUCCCUUUCACUUAUUUGGUGUAUUUUAAGAUAUUAUUAGUACUUCUCUUGCUUCUUUUGUUGUUACAGAUCUCUUCUUUCGUUUCUUUUCUGGAAUUAUUAUCUCUUCUGUUGAGCUAAGGGUCUCCCGGAAAUAGCCUCUCUACCCUUCCGGGGUAAGAGUAAGGUUUGCGUACAUCCUACCCUCCCCAGACCCCACUAGUGAGAUUUUACUGGGUAUGUUGUUGUUGUUGUUAAGUUUGAAUUGGAGGGUGAUUCAUGUUUUUAGAGUUGUUUGAUGUGACUUGAGAGCUCGACUAAGUUCGUAUGGUGUAUUAGGACUUGUUGCCAUGUUUGGUUGAGGUUCCGAGGGCCUCGAGUGAGUUUCGGAUGCUUAACAGAUCAAAAUUGGACUUGUGUUCAUUGUUGAAGCCUUCAAGGCUUCUGGUGUUUUUGCACUUGCGGUGGGGAGACCACAGGUGUGGGUUGCACGUGCGUGAGGUCUGGCGCAUAAGCAGAAAUGGGAGGAGUUUCCAGGGGUCACAGGUGCAAGGGAAAUGCCGCAUCUGCGAUGCCCGGAGAUGCACUAGAGGAACCGCAGGCGCGGAGGAAGACCACAGAAGCGGACCAUUGUCGCAAGUGCGCACACGCAGGUGCGGCCACCUUAUCGCAGAUGCGGACCCAGGAGACUUAAGUUAAGUCCGCACCUGCGAUGGAAUUUCCGCAGUUUUGGCGCGGCAGGUGCGAUUAUAGGCUCGCAAAUGAGAAAUCGCUGGGCAGAAAAAGGCUAAGUUCGAGGGUUUGAUUUCAUUCUCCAUUAUUGGACCUAGAGAGCUCGGAUUGAGGCAAAAUUUUGAGGGUUUUUCAGAGGAAACUUGUGGGUAACGAUUCUUAACUCCUUUAUGGUUAUAUCUCAUUAAUCUAUAGUUGAUUCCACCCUUUAAUUAGGGAUUUGAGGGGAAAAUGAUAGAAACUUCCUAGACUAAGUUUUUGAGUUUUGAAAGGCGAUUUGAGGUCGGAUUUGAGAAAUUCUUGUAUGGUUGGACUCGUGAGUGAAUGAUGUUCAUAUUUGUGACUUUUACCAGAUUCCGAGAUGUGGGCCCAGGGAGGCUUUUUAGGGCGAUUUUCGAAUUUCUUGAUUAAGUCUUGAUUUCAUUAGUUGGAUUAGUCUAUUAUAGUUGUAUUUAUGAUAUAUGUAAUUAUGUUUGGCUAGAUUUAGGUCAUUCGGAGUUGGAUAAUCGAGGAAAGGGCAUUCUUACGGAUUGAUUUGAGCUUGGUUCGAGGUAAGUGGCUUGCCUAACCUUGUGUGGGGGAAAUCCCCUUAGGAUUUGGUACUGUUGUGAUAUGUGAGCGUUGUGUACGUGAGGUGACGAGUACGUUCACGGGGUAUUUGUUGAAAACCCCUUUUUUUUUAUUGAGUAGUAACCGAUUUUCAUUUAAAUUGAGUUAUGCCCACAUGUGUAGUUAUCCUGUUUAGUCUAGUAUUACAUGUCUACGUGCUUUAACUGCUUAUUUGAUCUUUGUGCAGCAUGCCUAGUUGAUUUCCUAUUUUUCCUUGAUCCUUAUCAGUCUUAACUGUAGAAUUUUUACUGUUAACUGUGGUAUUUAUCGGUUUGAGCUGUGUGUUUACCUUUGCGAUUACGAGGCGGUUCCUCGGGAGUUCUCCCUACACAUUUACAUUUGAGACUAUGAGGCGGUACCUCGGGAGUUCUCCCUGUAUAUUUAUUUUGAGACUACGAGGUAGUACCUUGGGAGAUCUCCUUGCAUAUUUACUUUUGAGACUACGAGGCGGUACCUCGGGAGAUCUCCUUGCAUAUUUACUUUGGGACUACGAGACGGUAUCCCGGGAGAUCCCCUGCUGUUAUCCAUGUGUACUGUACUGCCAUUUUUGUUGUGUUUCCUUUUGUUGAGUUCCAGUCUUUUAUUAUACUGUAUAUUCUCCUACCUUAUUUAUUAUAUACCAGUGGGCCUGACCUGACCUCGUUACUACUCGACCGAGGUUAGGCUUGGCACUUACUAGGUAUCAUUAUGGUGUACUCAUGCUACUCUUCUGCACAUGUUUUUAUGUGCAGAUCCAGGGACUUCUUAUCAGCCACGUCAUCAGUGAGCAGCGACAGUUGGAGACUUAAAGGUAUAUCUGCCGCGUCCUCAGACCUCGGAGUCCCCCUCUAUUCUCCCCUAUGUCCAUUAUCUUCUGUACUUCUUUUGUUAGACUCUGGUAUAUAGAGAUACUAGUUUCCUUAUGUAGUUUGUGACUCAUGAUGUUCCGGAUUUCAGAAAACUGUGUAUUACUGAGGUGUUGAUUAUUGUACAUGCGGAGCGGCAGGGUUAUUAAUUAUGUUGUUAUCUGUUGCAAUUAGUUGUUGAGUUUUUACUUCUAUUUCUAUUAUUUCCGUAAUUUUUUAGGC
rnacentral:lncRNA from 1 species